rnacentral:misc_RNA from 1 species
UUAGAAAAAUAAUAUUCAUUGAAUAUAUUGAAUGUUUCCUUAAAAAAUAAUAUUCAAGAGGGGUAAAAAAGUUUUGGGAUGGACACUGUAUUUGAUAGAGUUAGGAAUAUCAUAGAUUAAUGAAAGGUAAGAAUGAGAAGAUUCUUUUAUUUCCACUGACGAAGAAGAAUGAAAUCCAAAGAACUCCAUGACACUUCUAAUAAGGAGUAAUAAGAACAAGAAAAGGAACGAUAAAUUUGCUCAGCUGGAAUAACAAAAAUGUAAAAAGAAUAGCAGGUCCAAUGUCAGUGCUCCCAAGCAAUUAUGCCAGACUAAAUAAUUGGAUCCCUUUAGUCAGCCAACUGAGAUACAGUCAUAAUUCACUCUGUGCGGCUAGCAUUGAUGAAUAUAUAGGUCUUUGUUAUUUGUUUUUCAUUUGGAUGAACUGGGUUAUUGUUGGCUUUUAUUUAAUUGAUGCUAUGGUCUAAAUGGUCCAAGGGUAUCAUUUUCUACUGAAGGUAUUGGAUUGUGUUCCUGUGGAAGAAACCUUAUCAAAUGUGUUAAUUGCUAUUGGAUUCUGCCUGAUCUUAUAUCAGAACUGCUAAAAGAUGUUAAUUUGGACAACUACUUUUCUUUACUCCAAUUGUCAAUAGUGGAUUAUUAAUUGAAAAAGAGGAAUGAAAGAAUUGCAGAGCCAAUAAUCAUAUGCAUAUACUUAGAAAUGGCACCUGGCUAUUCAUUCUCCUACCCAUGCCAUAUCAUCUUGCAAAGAUCAUAAACCAUACUUUUUUCGAGAAUAGAUAAACAUUUGUAUAAUGCCUUCUUUUAUGACAGUUUUGGACAAGUGCAUUGAAUUAUAUGAUUGUGGUGUAUUUUUAUUCAGUUCAUUAAUGCAAUCAUUUCUGGACUUGCUUUUGCUUUGUUUAUGCCAUGUCAGUAAGAGUUUGAUACGAAUGGUUACAUGCAUAAAUUCCAUUUUAUCUAGCCUCAUCCCUUGCUUCCCCCUGUGCAAAAAAUU